UAGAGGAAGUAAAAGUCGUAACAAGGUUUCCGUAGGUGAACCUGCGGAAGGAUCAUUUACCGAGAAGUUGUAGGCUUCUGUCUACCAUCUCUUACCCAUGUCUUUUGCGUACUUAACGUUUCCUCGGCAGGUCCGCCUGCCGUAGGACAAUUAUAAACCAUUUGCAGUUGCAGUCAGCGUCUGAAAAACAUAAUAAUUACAACUUUUAACAACGGAUCUCUUGGUUCUGGCAUCGAUGAAGAACGCAGCGAAAUGCGAUAAGUAGUGUGAAUUGCAGAAUUCAGUGAAUCAUCGAAUCUUUGAACGCACAUUGCGCCCCUUGGUAUUCCAUGGGGCAUGCCUGUUCGAGCGUCAUUUGUACCUUCAAGCUCUGCUUGGUGUUGGGUGUUUGUCCCGCCUUUGUGCGCGGACUCGCCUUAAAGCAAUUGGCAGCCGGCGUAUAGAUUUCGGAGCGCAGCACAAUCCGCGCUUUGUACUCAUUACGACGACAUCCAUCAAGACAUUUUUUAACUCUUGACCUCGGAUCAGGUAGGGAUACCCGCUGAACUUAAGCAUAUCA
rnacentral:rRNA from 1 species